rnacentral:rRNA from 1 species
UACGUAGGGGGCGAGCGUUGUCCGGAAUUAUUGGGCGUAAAGGAGCGUGUAGGCGGUUCGGUAAGUCUGCCGUGAAAACCUGGGGCUCAACCCCGGGCGUGCGGUGGAUACUGCCGGCUAGAGGUGGUAGAGGCGAGUGGAAUUCCCGGUGUAGCGGUGAAAUGCGCAGAUAUCGGGAAGAACACCCGUGGCGAAGGCGGCUCUCUGGGACGGUACUGACGCUGAGACGCGAAAGCGUGGGGAGCGAACGAGG